UACGAAGGGGGCUAGCGUUGUUCGGAAUUACUGGGCGUAAAGCGCACGUAGGCGGGUAUUUAAGUCAGGGGUGAAAUCCCGGGGCUCAACCCCGGAACUGCCUUUGAUACUGCGAAUCUCGAGUCCGGAAGAGGUGAGUGGAAUUCCUAGUGUAGAGGUGAAAUUCGUAGAUAUUAGGAAGAACACCAGUGGCGAAGGCGGCUCACUGGUCCGGUACUGACGCUGAGGUGCGAAAGCGUGGGGAGCAAACAGG
rnacentral:rRNA from 1 species